rnacentral:lncRNA from 1 species
GCAAUACAGCCUGCUUUUAAAACUAAGUAAACAAAAUGGAACGGGGAGGGGAAAGGACCACCAACAACAGCAUCAAGCAUGAGACUCUUCUUGGGAACAGCUGUGCCUCUAGGCAGACAGAUGAAUCCAGGUGGCCUUUGAUGUCUCUCGGAGCAGAGUAUUGUGAUGAGUCCUGGCCUCCCUGGAGCUUUUUCAUCAUCCCUAAAUUGGAAUCUGCUGCAGAAGCCGUUAUCAGCAACCUC